rnacentral:rRNA from 1 species
UGUGAAAGUACACGAGCGGCGGACGGCUGAGUAACGCGUAGGAACAUACCCCAAAGUGAGGAAUAACUGCCCGAAAGGGUGGCUAAUGCCGCAUGUGCUCUAAGGAGUAAAGCUUUAUGCGCUUUGGGAAUGGCCUGCGUCCGAUUAGCUAGUUGGUGAGGUAAAAGCUCACCAAGGCGACGAUCGGUAGCUGGUCUGAGAGGAUGACCAGCCAGACUGGAACUGAGAACGGUCCAGACUCCUACGGGAGGCAGCAGUAGGGAAUUUUCCACAAUGGGCGAAAGCCUGAUGGAGCAACGCCGCGUGCAGGAUGAAGGCCUUCGGGUCGUAAACUGCUUUUAUCUGUGACGAUUUUGACGGUAGCAGAAGAAUAAGGAUCGGCUAACUACGUGCCAGCAGCCGCGGUCAUACGUAGGAUCCAAGCGUUAUCCGGAAUUACUGGGCGUAAAGAGUUGCGUAGGUGUCCUGAUAGGUUUCUGUUUAAAGGCUGAGGCUCAACCUCAGACAUGACAGAAAAACCCUCAGGAUUGAGGACGAGAGAGGUAGAUGGAAUUUCUAGUGUAGGAGUGAAAUCCGUA